rnacentral:misc_RNA from 1 species
GCAACCCCUUCAACAGCUGCAACAACAGCAACAGCAGCAACCUCUCAUGCAACUGCAGCAACAACAGCAGAUUCCGUUGCAACAAUCACAGGUUCCCCAAAUGCAGCAACAACAGAUUCACCAAAUGCAGCAGCAGCAGCAGAUCCCGCAAAUGCAGCAGCAGCAGCAGAUUCCGCAAAUGCAGCAGCAACAGCAGCAGCAACCAAUGGUUGGAACAGGGAUGAACCAAACCUACAUGCAAGGUCCUGCAAGGUCACAGCUAAUGUCUCAGAGUCAAGGUUCAUCACAAGGACUGCCAAUCAUACCAGGAGGCGGGUUUAUGAAUUGAAAAUGUCAUAGAACUAGACAACCAUUGUACAAAUGUGAGACCAGGCAGUUGAUUCCAAAAGUGUAGCCAUGCAUUUGGUGCAUAUCUUAACAAUGGAAUUUCGAAGUAAUCAAAUUCAUUAUAGACUCUAGCAUAGAAAUUACUUGUGCCCUUCAAAUCAGGUUGGGGCGGCUGUAAAGGCAAAAUAAAAGGGGAAGAGGGAGGAAUUUUCUG